GGCCGAAAGGCCCACACAUAGCGGGGCGCAAAGCCCUCGCACAGCUAAACGGAAGACAGAAA
rnacentral:ncRNA from 1 species